rnacentral:rRNA from 1 species
AUUGAACGCUGGCGGCAGGCCUAACACAUGCAAGUCGAGCGGAUGAAGGGAGCUUGCUCCUGGAUUCAGCGGCGGACGGGUGAGUAAUGCCUAGGAAUCUGCCUGGUAGUGGGGGAUAACGUCCGGAAACGGGCGCUAAUACCGCAUACGUCCUGAGGGAGAAAGUGGGGGAUCUUCGGACCUCACGCUAUCAGAUGAGCCUAGGUCGGAUUAGCUAGUUGGUGGGGUAAAGGCCUACCAAGGCGACGAUCCGUAACUGGUCUGAGAGGAUGAUCAGUCACACUGGAACUGAGACACGGUCCAGUCUCCUACGGGAGGCAGCAGUGGGGAAUAUUGGACAAUGGGCGAAAGCCUGAUCCAGCCAUGCCGCGUGUGUGAAGAAGGUCUUCGGAUUGUAAAGCACUUUAAGUUGGGAGGAAGGGCAGUAAGUUAAUACCUUGCUGUUUUGACGUUACCAACAGAAUAAGCACCGACUAACUUCGUG